AUUCAGCUGACGAGUUCUAAAUAGGACGAAACAUAUGACCAGGAU
rnacentral:hammerhead_ribozyme from 1 species